rnacentral:lncRNA from 1 species
AAAAAGAAGCUCAAGAAAAUGGCAUAAAAUGGUCAUCUAUGAACUUUUAGAUUUUGCCUUCUCAGUAUUUCAGUUUCUUUAUCUAAAGAUCAGAGAACAGAUAUAACUUGUCUCAAGAAGGUGAGCAGAAGAGAACUACAGCUGGACCAGAAAAAUGAGAGAUCAAAUGGAAUCCCCAUUGCUCUGCUGUUGCAUCAAUUAAGGACUCAGAGAAUCUGAAC